GCUGAAUUCUCACUGAAGCAUUUCUUGGUGUGAUUCAGCACAGAAAUUAAGUGCAGGGAGAUAGGUUCGUGAAAGGAGAAGCGGCAGGCUAGAAGAAGCUACUCGUGGGUUUCUUCAAGAGUGUUUCCUGAGACAAAAACGUGAUAAGAACCUAAUUAAAGGUCCUGAAUCUGCAUGCCUAGUUUCUGCCAUAAAGUUCAGAUAUCUACACCAGACACUGCUGGUGUCACUGUAGUCCAAAGUUUCAUCAGGCAGAGGCAUUCCGGUUACCACAGUGAACUAAAGUGGUGCCAUAGACCCUCAUGAGGCCAAGGACAACAGCACCUACCUCUGUAGUCCUUUCUCACUGCACGGAAAAGUAUUUCUGACAAUUCACUGCAGUGACUUUUCCAGAUGGUUACAGAACUUGCAUGUGACCACCGGGGAAAGGAAGAGAUACCACAAGCCAGCCUGAACCCUUCCUACACUCCUCUACAGAAGCUACAGGUCAAAAAGUCCAUGGAGUACCACCCACAAGGCAGCAGGAGUUCAUUCAAGUAA
rnacentral:lncRNA from 1 species